CCUACGGGAGGCAGCAGUGGGGAAUUUUGCGCAAUGCUCGUAAGAGUGACGCAGCGACGCCGCGUGAAUGACGAAGGCCUUCGAGUCGUAAAGUUCUUUCGACAGGGAAGAAAAUGCCUAUAAUUAACUGUGUAUGUAUUGACGGUACCUGUAUAAGCAGCCCCGGCUAACUCCGUGCCAGCAGCCGCGGUAAUACGGAGGGGGCGAGCGUUGUUCGGAGUGACUGGGCGUAAAGAGCACGUAGGCGGUGUUGUAAGUCAUUAGUCAAAGACUAGAGCUCAACUUUAGUAAGGCUAGUGAUACUAUAAUACGAGAGUAUCAGAGAGGAUUGCAGAAUUCCUGGUGUAGCGGUGAAAUGCGUAGAUAUCAGGAGGAAUACCGUUAGCGAAGGCGGCAAUCUGGCUGGAAACUGACGCUGAGGUGCGAAAGCGUGGGUAGCAAACAGGAUUAGAUACCCUAGUAGUC
rnacentral:rRNA from 1 species